GUUAUGUGUUUGAUGGCAAUUGGUAAAAUAUAUAACCAUGUUGUAUAAAAGUGGCACGGUAAAUGGGAACAUAACAAAAAGCAAACUAAAACUAAGUUUAAAACAAGACAUAAACAUGGCACAAUUUAGAUUGCUCUGAAAGGAAGUGGAAGACGUGGUGCGUGAUCUAAUGAUACAUUUUAAAAGUUGUCCAUAAACACAGAAGAGAAGUGACCUUUCUGCUGUGUUGUGAUUUCACAUCAAUCUCGUGACCUGUCCAGCUCUAACUAAUACCAUUGUGAUAUUAUAUUAAUCUGCUUUGAAAGAAUAACCAGUAUUAGUGGGAGGCACCAAAUUACCAUUGUCUGGAAACUCACCUGUGUCUGUGCCACUCUCUUAGUUUUGUUUUUACUGAACUGUCACACCUCACUAAACAUGCUGUGAUGUAUGAAGACAUCCUGACACUCCCGCAUAAUUUUUAACAUGUUCAAACGCUUGAAUCUGCUGCUGCUGCUGUGCCAGUUCAGUUACAGCGGAUCCAUCACUAGAUCUGUGAAAGGAAUAAAGGGAGGCAACGCCACCCUGUCAUGUCAAUUUGAAGCCAAAGACAUUCAUUACAUUGAUUUAAGCAGGUUAACAAGCAUCCUUUCUUGUCAGAAUGAAGAAUGUGAGAGUGAAAGUGAAAGUCAGAAUGGGAGAGUAUUUAAAACAGGAUCAUGUGCCGUGAUUAUCAAGAAUCUGAGACUGAGUGAUGCUGGGAAAUACAUUUUAAGAGUCUAUUACACUAAUACUCAGGCAGAAGUGAAGCGUCAAAUCAUGACAUACCGACUUCAUUUUCAGGAUGAGAUUGCAGUGAAGGAAGGGGCGGAGCUGAAGUUGGAUGUUCUGUUGCCCAAUGCUUAUAAAGUAGUGCACUGGACCAAAAGAAGCACAGGACGGAAGGAGGACUGGAAUAGAAGCCUUGGGGUCAGAAGUGAUCGAAUGACCAUCAGAGAUGGAAACCUGAUUAUUAAUAAUUUUACAGCCACUGACGCAGGAACAUAUGAGGUUCUGGACACUGUGGGAGAAAUCCUGAUGAUGGUGACUGUCACAGAAUCAAAGGACAAAAUGAACCACAUAAAUGAUGACAAACAGCAACAUACUUCCUCUCUUCCACCUGAAGCAUACUGGAUUGUCGCAGUUGAACUGUCAGUGGUUUUGGUGAUUCUGGUUGCUUUAAAAGGAAAAAGGAUGCACAGAUGUUCAGGGGCACAGCUGCACAUUUACUGAGGGGUCUGCAAGAUCAUAGUUGGUGCUCCCCAGUGUUGUGACCCCCGCCAAAAAAUAAAAAAAUAAUAAUUAUAACAAUUACAAUACAUUAAUAAUAUUAAUAAAUAGCUGUCGUUUUGACCAUUGUUUUAAUAAGCCACCAACAUUUUAAUUUCAGCAUUCUUGAUUCCAAUUUUGAUACCGCAGAAAAAUUUGUGAUUGUAAUUUGUUUCAUCAUAAGCCAUAGCUAUGCAUGAAUAUACACAAAUGCAGCCAAGGUGAAUGAAUGCAUAAGUUAAUUAAAUAAUUAUAUUUUUUACUGAUAACAAUAGGAAACAUGAAUAAAGGAGUAAAACAAUGAAUAAAAGUAAGCAUCACAAUAAAUACACACAUAUACAAGUCAACAACACAUGAAACAAAACUUCAUUCAAACUUAUUUUUCUAAUAAUCACUAAGACAGGAUUCAGGUCUCCUCUGUGAUUUAUGUGCUCAAAACUGAAUUAAAAUGUGGAGGUAGUUGCUGCUAACUUGCUUUUUAUCAACACAAAUCAUCCUCAGUUUAUUAACAGUAGAUUACUAAUGGAUACAUGAAAUACUGCAUGUUUAGUUUCUUUAUGUAGAUUUGUUUAUUUACAUUAAUCUACAGCAGUGUUGACAACAGUAAUCCUACUAGCACACAUAAGCUAGCACCUUUAUUUUUAAGAGUGUAAAGGGAAUAAAUAAAAAUAAAAAUAAAUUUCAGUGAUUUCUCUCACAGUUAUAUCAUUGGCUAAUCAUGUCCCUUUAGUGGCUCCGUUUUAUGUUUUAUGGUGCGUAUUUUUAAACACCUCUUACCAUAAUUUAUUUAUUCUCAGGUCAGGUAAAGUCAAAUCUUUCAUAUAUCAUAAGCAUCUGAGUUUUCUUAGGUCACAGAAGUCUUCACCGUGGUCUGUUUGGCUCAAGUUUAGAAAUCAGAGACUUCUGGCAGGCAAGCUUCUUGGUUUUAAUUGCAUAUAUUUUUAUUGACUACUUCACAAACAAAAUACUAGAAUGAAACCAAAGCAAUGGAUGAUGACCAAAAGUGUAGAAAAUAUAACAGAAAGCAUGAGGAGUCAACAAUAUUUUGCCACAUUUUAACAUUUCAAAAGAUUCAAAUAUUGAUGGCAGUAGUUCAGAGUUAUAGCAGAUGUGGCAUUGCAUUCGUAGUGAAUUCCUGAACAACAUUAAAUGAAUAAAAGAACUAACAUGUUGGAGAAGGGGUGGGUAAUAUGACCAGAAUCUUAUAUCACAAAAUGAGUAUUGUAUUUCACAAGAACAUGAAUCUCUAACUAAUUAUUUAUUUUCCAGUUACGUGUUUUAGUUUGAAUCGGACAGGUAUAACGAUUUUGCUUUAUAAAUGUAUUAAUUUAAUUUAAACUGUAUUUGAUCAAAUUCAGUUGGACCAACAUUUCACUGCAGUACUAAUUAAAACUAGAUAUCAUCAUACACUAAAUGACUGAAGAUCACACACACCUAGGAGACACAUCCCUUACGAAAAAAGGAAACAAUGUGUGUUCUAGAAUCGGCUCAAAAUAUCAAACAUGUUUGAUCUCCUCCGUCUGGAUGGAAUCUGAGUCUGAAGAUUUUUGAAUUUUGUUUGUAUUUUUAUAUUAAUUAAAUAUAUUUACUAUUUCCUUUUACUAAAUUCAGAAAAAUAAUACUUUAUAGAUAAUAUUAUGAUAAAAUAUAGAUGUUAAAUUAGUUCACAUCUGCUGCUCAAACUGUUGAGAUCAGACUGAAAUCAUCAGAGAUAUUCUUCAGAAUAAACUUCAGCUGACUGUAUCUGGACUCACACACUGUUUUUUAGUUCAAAUUUCUAUAUAAGGUAUUAGAUCUCACAUCUUCU
rnacentral:lncRNA from 1 species